CCUACGGGGGGCUGCAGUGGGGAAUAUUGGACAAUGGGGGCAACCCUGAUCCAGCCAUGCCGCGUGUGUGAAGAAGGCCCUCGGGUUGUAAAGCACUUUCAGUGAGGAAGAACGCCUGGUGGUUAAUACCCAUCAGGAAAGACAUCACUCGCAGAAGAAGCACCGGCUAACUCCGUGCCAGCAGCCGCGGUAAUACGGAGGGUGCGAGCGUUAAUCGGAAUUACUGGGCGUAAAGCGCGCGUAGGUGGCUUGAUAAGCCGGUUGUGAAAGCCCCGGGCUCAACCUGGGAACGGCAUCCGGAACUGUCAAGCUAGAGUGCAGGAGAGGAAGGUAGAAUUCCCGGUGUAGCGGUGAAAUGCGUAGAGAUCGGGAGGAAUACCAGUGGCGAAGGCGGCCUUCUGGACUGACACUGACACUGAGGUGCGAAAGCGUGGGUAGCAAACAGGAUUAGAUACCCCGGUAGUC
rnacentral:rRNA from 1 species